rnacentral:rRNA from 1 species
GAUGAACGCUGGCGGCGUGCCUAAUACAUGCGAGUCGAGCGAACGGACGAGAAGCUUGCUUCUCUAAUGUUAGCGGCGGACGGGUGAGUAACACGUGGAUAACCUACCUAUAAGACUGGGAUAACUUCGGGAAACCGUAGCUAAUACCGGAUAAUAUUUUGAACCGCAUGGUUCAAAAGUGAAAGACGGUCUUGCUGUCACUUAUAGAUGGAUCCGCGCUGCAUUAGCUAGUUGGUAAGGUAACGGCUUACCAAGGCAACGAUGCAUAGCCGACCUGAGAGGGUGAUCGGCCACACUGGAACUGAGACACGGUCCAGACUCCUACGGGAGGCAGCAGUAGGGAAUCUUCCGCAAUGGGCGAAAGCCUGACGGAGCAACGCCGCGUGAGUGAUGAAGGUCUUCGGAUCGUAAAACUCUGUUAUUAGGGAAGAACAUAUGUGUAAGUAACUGUGCACAUCUUGACGGUACCUAAUCAGAAAGCCACGGCUAACUACGUG